GUGCAGCAGUCGCGAAACCUCCGCAAUACACGAAAGUGUGACGGGGCCAUCCCGAGUGCCAUCCGCUGAGGACGGCUUUUCCUCAGUGUACACAGCUGGGGGAAUAAGGAGAGGGCAAGCCUGGUGUCAGCCGCCGCGGUAAUACCAGCUCUCCGAGUGGUGGGGACGCUUAUUGGGCCUAAAGCAUCCGUAGCCGGCUGGGCAAGUCCUCCGUUAAAUCCAACGAUUCAAUCGUUGGGCUGCGGGGGAUACUGUCCAGCUUGGGGGCGGGAGAGGCCGACGGUAUUCCCGGGGUAGGGGUGAAAUCCUAUAACUCCCGGGAGGACCACCAGUGGCGAAGGCUGUCGGCUAGAACGCGCCCGACGGUGAGGGAUGAAAGCUGGGGGAGCGAACCGGAUUAGAUACCCGUGUAGU
rnacentral:rRNA from 1 species